CCCUUAAGGGAGCACAGCGCAGAACGCGCGUUUGUUCUCCGCCGUGCGUUCACUCCCCGUGAAAGCGCGCGUCCCUCGCGCUCUUUCACUCGCACAUACAGCGUUCGGCGGCGCGUGGCGACGAUUUCAUCUCCAUUGACGUCAUACGGAACCUCACGGCGACGGCGACGGCGACGCCGACGGCAGAAAUCUGCUUUUGAGUGUCCAUAUAAUUGCUAUCGCAAUAAAAUUAAUACCUAAAUGAAAACAAAUGCUAGCUGCAGGUGGUAGACUUUACCCUUUUCGUUUAGACUCAACUAACCUAAUCAGAUUGGGUGCAGUGUAAGCGCAGCAAAACAAUUGUUUCAUUUCCUUGUAUUCACAUCUGAGUUCUGGCCCUGAAGGUUCUUAAGAAUCAACGCACUUCAUAGUUAUCAGCCACGCAGGAUAGGGGUACAGAAUGCAACGGAAUGCUUUGAAGCUACUGCCAUGUACAAAUGCUGGAAACAGUACGUCAAUUAAGUGAUACGAGCGAUUGUUCAUUCUACAUUACGGCAGCAAAGUCAGCCUCUUUCUUUUAUGUACCUGAAGUUUGUUAUAUUUGUAUUAUCGUACUAAUAAUUUAGUAAACGAGUGGUUGAACUGCAUCAGUUUGUGUUUAUUGAUGAAAGCGCAAAUUAGACAAGGCCGCUACCGAACAGAGGGCGUGUUCUGGAGCCGUUCAGUAUAACAGAUACACUGUGCUUAGAGAUAAUGCCGUCUCGAAAUCUUAUUCACUUUUCUGUUCAUGCCAUUACAAUGUUGUCUUUUACAUUUCGUAAUGAUGUUUUUAGAAGUACUAAUAUUGCCUCAAAUGCAGCUAAAAAACUAGGUAAACUUAAAAGGAGAAUGCAGUCACACUUUCGGGAAUUCAAACAGGUACUGCUUACACAAAAUAAUUGGUAUUUUGUUACAACAGGUUUUGAACAGGGGUCGAGAAAGAGUAUUUUGUGUACGAGGAACACUUUCUGUGUAACCUCGGAGAAUAAGAGCAGCAAUGCGCACUUCGACUAUAGCGCAACGAACUGCCAUAUAGCACGAUAUUUGCUUUUUAUGCUCUGGACGAACGAUAAUAAAAGCCUCGCCUCGCACUAUAUAAAGAGAGCAAGCGCUCGCCAAGACUAAAUAAAAUGAAUCAGGUGUCGGAAAAAGAUAAUUCGUUAUUAGGAGCAAGGCAGUAUCAACAACGGCGAUACCACCACCAGGCAGCAGGCUUGAUCUGCAUAAUUGGUUGACUAUUGAAUAAAAACAGUUCAGUUACUUGCUGUGUUAAGAAUUUUUUUGCUUACAUUUGAUUUCUUACACUACAUUGCUUGUUUUCCUCGCUCUGCUCUUCUCGAUAUGGUCCUUUAUUUUUUGGCAGCCUGCUGUCAUAGUUUUGGUACACUGUUGCCGUUAUUCCUUCUGGAAUAAUUAAGAGGUAUUCAUUGUUGCCCCCCCCCCCUUCCUGAUCCUUCCACUUUCAAAUAAUCUUGAUUGUACGUGCAGAUCUUGUGGUAUUGUUGUAUGAAAUGUUGUGUGGUUCCUUUUUCUGUAUAGAAUGGAGAUCCACAUAGUUUAUAACUUCGACACUUACAUUCCCUCUGUAUUUGUAUUGCUGACAAGUAUGGCGUGAUGGGCAUGUUGGUUCACCUUGAAUAGCAGUAGUUGAGCGCUUAAUAGACGAGGACAAAAAAGGAGACAAACAGAGCUACUCACAACAAUGAAGUUGAAUUCCUUGACACAGAGAACAAGAGAGUGCCCUCGAACGCACGUCACCGACCACGUGAACCACAUUGUCACCGCGGAACAAGAUGACCAAAUAGAGUGCGCAAACAAGAAAAAAGAAAUUUAGUUACACAUGCGCAAAAAAUAUCAAUUCUUUGUUGGACAAUGCUAAGGAAGUCUUGAUGAUACAGGAACCACCGUGAUAGUCAAUCUGCUCACUCACAAUUAUUAAACGGGUGAUUUCACACUUGCUGCUUCCUACGAUCUGGGUUUUAUCGAAGGGGGG